UACGUAGGCAGCAAGCGUUGUUCGGAAUUACUGGGCGUAAAGAGUGUGUAGGCGGUGUUCUAAGUCUGUUGUGAAAUCUCCCGGCUUAACUGGGAGGGUGCGGCGGAAACUGGAAUGCUAGAGGAUGGGAGAGGUAAGCGGAAUUCCUGGUGUAGCGGUGAAAUGCGUAGAUAUCGGGAGGAACACCUGUGGCGAAAGCGGCGCACUGGACCACAUCUGACGCUGAGGCGACGAAAGCUAGGGGAGCAAACAGG
rnacentral:rRNA from 1 species